rnacentral:rRNA from 1 species
AAGUGAUUUACUCACGGAGCUGAAGUCAGUCGAAGAUACCAGCUGGCUGCAACUGUUUAUUAAAAACACAGCACUGUGCAAACACGAAAGUGGACGUAUACGGUGUGACGCCUGCCCGGUGCCGGAAGGUUAAUUGAUGGGGUCAGCGCAAGCGAAGCUCCUGAUCGAAGCCCCGGUAAACGGCGGCCGUAACUAUAACGGUCCUAAGGUAGCGAAAUUCCUUGUCGGGUAAGUUCCGACCUGCACGAAUGGCGUAAUGAUGGCCAGGCUGUCUCCACCCGAGACUCAGUGAAAUUGAACUCGCUGUGAAGAUGCAGUGUACCCGCGGCAAGACGGAAAGACCCCGUGAACCUUUACUAUAGCUUGACACUGAACAUUGAGCCUUGAUGUGUAGGAUAGGUGGGAGGCUUUGAAGUGUGGACGCCAGUCUGCAUGGAGCCGACCUUGAAAUACCACCCUUUAAUGUUUGAUGUUCUAACGUGGACCCGUUACCCGGGUUGCGGACAGUGUCUGGUGGGUAGUUUGACUGGGGCGGUCUCCUCCUAAAGAGUAACGGAGGAGCACGAAGGUUGGCUAAUCCUGGUCGGACAUCAGGAGGUUAGUGCAAUGGCAUAAGCCAGCUUGACUGCGAGCGUGACGGCGCGAGCAGGUGCGAAAGCAGGUCAUAGUGAUCCGGUGGUUCUGAAUGGAAGGGCCAUCGCUCAACGGAUAAAAGGUACUCCGGGGAUAACAGGCUGAUACCGCCCAAGAGUUCAUAUCGACGGCGGUGUUUGGCACCUCGAUGUCGGCUCAUCACAUCCUGGGGCUGAAGUAGGUCCCAAGGGUAUGGCUGUUCGCCAUUUAAAGUGGUACGCGAGCUGGGUUUAGAACGUCGUGAGACAGUUCGGUCCCUAUCUGCCGUGGGCGCUGGAGAACUGAGGGGGGCUGCUCCUAGUACGAGAGGACCGGAGUGGACGCAUCACUGGUGUUCGGGUUGUCAUGCCAAUGGCACUGCCCGGUAGCUAAAUGCGGAAGAGAUAAGUGCUGAAAGCAUCUAAGCACGAAACUUGCCCCGAGAUGAGUUCUCCCUGAGACUUUAGGUCUCCUGAAGGAACGUUGAAGACGACGACGUUGAUAGGCCGGGUGUGUAAGCGCAGCGAUGCGUUGAGCUAACCGGUACUAAUGAACCGUGAGGCUUAACCUUACAACGCCG